GAUAAUGUGAUUGAUUUUUUUGGGGGUUAACGAGCGUAAUAUGCCCGGAAAGAAGAGAAAAUAUAACGCAAGGUUUCCACCUUACUUGUUUAUUUUAGGCCCGCAUUAAGAAAAUAAUGCAGAAAGACAAAGAAGUUGGAAAGGUUGCAUCUGCAGUUCCUGUUCUAAUAUCAAGAGCCUUGGAGUUGUUCUUAAAAUCUCUCUUAACAAAGAGCUGUCAAAUCACCCAAUCAAAGCACACAAGAACAAUGACGCAGGGACAUAUCAGUGCAUUGAAACAGAGAAGCAUUUUCAUUUCUUAAAGGAUAUGGUAAAUCGCUUCUCAUCUCUCAGACCAUCUCAGGAACAGGCCUGUAGCAAAUCGGGUGGCAGAAAAAGUUGGCAAGAUGUAGGGGCAAAAUACAAA